AAUCUCUUAAAGCCGUUCUCAGUUCGGAUUGUAGGCUGCAACUCGCCUACAUGAAGUCGGAAUCGCUAGUAAUCGCGGAUCAGCAUGCCGCGGUGAAUACGUUCCCAGGCCUUGUACACACCGCCCGUCACACCAUGAGAGUUUGUAACACCCAAAGCCGGUGGGGUAACCUUUUGGAGCCAGCCGUCUAAGGUGGGACAGAUGAUUGGGGUGAAGUCGUAACAAGGUAUC
rnacentral:rRNA from 1 species